GUGUGAGCUAAUUCCAAAAAAAUGUUGGUUGUUCAAGAAUCUAGAAGCCUCCAGUUUUCUUGCUGUGAAGGCAAUAAGUUAAAGUUUUCCACACACCACCUGAGGCUUCUGUUGUGAGUGGUGUAGGAAACACACUAGAAAGCAUGUGUUCGCCUUCGGGCGGCUUUCUAGUUGAUAGUCAUGAACCUUCAAUGUUGCAGCUAGCUUGCCAACUACCAAGGCCUUGUGGUGAUAACAUAACUGGACGACAACCCGUUGUACUUUUUAUUGGAAACUUUUCUCCGUUUAAAACCUUGAUCAAAACCUGCCGGGCUGAUGCUGCUUAUUGAGAUAAGGGAUACCGCCAGGCAUCAAGACCAUAGGGCAGCACAAGAAGAGAACAUCGACAUUUUACAGAUGAAAUAUCUGCCCGACUUCAUUGUCCUUGAACAGAAGGUGACAGAAGACCCUUCUGUUUCUGCAGAAGUGGUAUGAUAAAAAAUUCAAAAUGUUGAAAGUUGGAUGGGCAACCCUUAAGGAAAAUAUCAACCCAAUCCUGAAGAGGUAAUUGAAUAUUAGAUAUUUUGUACAGAAUGUAUUUUUUUUUACCAGUACAUGAGAAUAAGGUGAAUAUUUUGUGCUUGUUUUAACUUUCUAAUGAUAUUGCAUUUAUUAAUACAAUUUAAAGUAUUUUGUGUGGUGUUUGCAGAUUUCUGAACAAUGAGGUCCUUCAAAUGCUCUUUCUAUAAACAAAAUAUGGAUUCUUGUGUUUGAUAGAUUCCUGAUACUUUGUGUUUGCCAGAUGUAAUAAUAAAGUCUCUUAAUUUUGAACUCAGAAUGCCUCUUGAGAAACCACAAGGGGACGCUGAGUGCUGUACGAAGUGCGACCAUGUCAUGCCUGAAAUAUGCGCCUGACAGAUGCAGUGGCAGUGGCACGUAGACUUAAGAAAGCUCUAUAGAACAUUUUUUUUAGGACAGUUCUAUAGAACGUUGGUCCUAAAGUUCUAUUGCAUUUCUAUAGAAUGUUUCUAUAGAAAAUUUUUAGGAGUAAAAGAAAAAAAAAAGUGCUGUUGCUUUAAUAAAUGUUGGGGUACGCGAAUAAUAGAAGAAAAAGUGGUGAAACUGGACGAGAUUCUCUUUUUUUUUUCGUAAAAAGGUCUGGUCUGAAGCCAAAGUAGAAAGUACAGGAUGAGAUGGUGUAGAAUGUUAAAAUUCCACCUUGGCACAGCCUGAUUGAGGAUGAAAGCACAGACAAUACAGAAAACAAAAAGUUAAUUCUGUUUUUUUAAAUAUAGGAGGCAACAUAUCAUUAACUCUAAAACUGUUUCGGAGCAUUAUUCAGCUUUCAACAUGCAUUGCUGAAGAUAUUCUGCAAGCAAUAAUUCAGUUUUACACCAAGAACAACAGAUGGGGAUAUGAUUGUGGGUUAAAAAAAAAUGAAACAAAGUGCAAGCGACAUUUCAAAUUUAUAGUUCAUAGUUGACUUG